CAGGAUUUUAGUUCAAAGGACAAUCUUGUUUCUUCAGCUCAUACUGAUGGUAGUUUGGAGAUAGAGAGAAGAGCUUCUCAUCAUGAAUCAGACAAUGAAAAUGAAAUACAAAUUCAAAGUCAAUUAAAAAAAGACUUUCCUAAACAGUUUGAUCAGGUUUCUGUCUUUAAAUCAAUACGAAAAGAUUUUUGUUUAGUGAGAGAAAACAGCAAAGAGACAUUUUCUGGAAAGGAGAAAAAUAGAGACCUAACUUAUCAUGAACGCGAAAAACGAUUGGAUAAACCCCAUAAAGGUUUGGAUUCAAGGUUGAAAAGCAGUUUUUUUGAUAAAGCAGCUAAUCAAGUUGAAGAAACAUUACAUACUCAUUUACCACAAAACCCAGAAACAAACUUUAGGGACUCCAGCUACCCAUUUGCCAAUAAAGAAUCCAUUGGUUCGGAACUGGGGAAUUCGUUUGCAUCAAAUAUUAGAAUUAAAGAAGAACCUUUGGAUGAUGAGUAUGACAAAGCAGUGGCGCCUCAGCAGGGACUACUAGACAGAGUUAAAGACGAACCUGACAAUGCUCAAGUAAACACCUCACCCCGCCUCCUUCUGUUCACAAUGAGCUUACUCAUUUGAGACAGGAAGUGCCUAAAGUGAAAUAAAUAGUUUGACAGGAUGAAAAG
rnacentral:lncRNA from 1 species